rnacentral:rRNA from 1 species
GAGAGGAAGGUCCCCCACACUGGUACUGAGACACGGACCAGACUCCUACGGGAGGCAGCAGUGAGGAAUAUUGGUCAAUGGGCGAAAGCCUGAACCAGCCAAGUAGCGA